UGAAUUCGAUUGGAGUAUGGUAAUGAGCUGUGAGGUGUCUCUGACAAUAACUGCAAUUGAUGACAUUACGUCUCAUAGAAUUAACCAAUACUAAUAAGAACACAGAAAGUUACUAUAUAAUAAGAUAGUAGAAGAGAGUGACAUAAGAUUAUGAAUUUAGAAUUUACAUUUAUCUAUUUCAUCUUUGAUCUUUGAUCUUUCAUCUUUGUCUGUCAUGGCUAUUCUUUUCUCUUGUGCCCACCUUCACAUGUGACUCUUCUUCCAUUUCCCUGCUUUCCUUUUUCUUCCUUUCCUCUGUUCGAGGUGUUCUUCACAUCUUUCAUUGCAAAAAGCAAACACACAAAAUGUAAGCUUGGCUAUCUAAACUCAGCACAUGCCACCAAUUUCAUUUUCU
rnacentral:lncRNA from 1 species